AUUUAAUCUUGUUUUUAUUUUCAAACUACAUAGUUAUACUUAUUUAAAGUAAAAGAUUAUUAAAAAAUGUUAAUAAAACCCUAAAAAUAGAGUCGCCUGCUUUUAACGUAGUGAACAUCUUCAUAUGUAUAGAUUACGUAUAAAUAAAUUACAAAAGUAACAAUAUCAGCACGUAAAUAGUCUACAUUAAGAUCAUAAAUAUUGUAAAGUAAAAAUUGAUUAUUCUUUAAUGAAAUCUUCAUAAACUUAAUUCAAUAUUUAUUAACUAAAAUACAUUUUUUGUUAUACAUAUAAUAAAAAAUAACCAAUCAUAAAUAAAACUCCAAAACACUAAUGUUCAGGACGUAUGUACAUACAUAUAAACUGACCUUGACUAUUAGAUUACGGUCACUAAUCUUAAAAACAUGAUAUUAAUUAGCAUAUUAUAACGUGAAUAGUGAAGACGAGCGCGGGCCUCAGCGAAACUAGUUCUCCGGCGUUAAAUGUCAACGACUAUUAUUACCAGUAAGCCACGGGUCACCAGGGUCAAACUUAAUACCGCGAGUCACAAAUCACGCAAUACUUUUAUUAUAGACACGCCCGAUAUGUGAACAGCGAAGCCAAAUAUAUAUAAAAAAAACCCAUUAACACCUUUGUAACAACGUGUAGUAAUCUUGUAACGGAUUUAGCGCUUGUAAAAAUGUAAUUACUAGACGAUGCGACCGAAAGCUCAGCCCACGCGUACUAAGUCGGUCAAUGAUUUAGAGAAGUAGAGGUAGAGCUUCAACUCAGCCGGGAUGUUGAGUUUCUCGAUCUGGAAGUUAUACCAGAGCGCAUUACUCAGAGGCGGCCUUACAUAUGGUGCAAGGGGUGUGGGCGCAAUGGUGUUAGGGUGCGCCGGCCUCGUCACUUUUAAUGAAACUAUUACAUUAGUAACUAUUCCAUUUUAACCGUGCGCUUACUAUAGAGCAAUAAAGUAAUUAUUGCACACGAGGUAAGCACGCACGCCUUUAGCAUUACUGUUAUGUGACAGAAAUAGACAGAAUGAUGGUACCUGCGUGAGUGGACUCACAAGACGCAAUAGUUUUGAUUAAAACUUCCUUUUAAUCAAACUAAGUUUAUUUAAUUAUUCUAAUGAACACUAGCGUGAUUACAGGUAAAUUAAGUAAAGAAGUUAAAGUAAAUAAAGGUUAAGUUUAACAAUUUCUUUAUUACAAAGGAAAUCGUAAUUAAACCUAAUUUAUAAGUAGACUAAGACUUUGAAUGCUUAAAACCGAAUGAAGUAAAUUAAAUGACGCUAAAAUUAAUCUCGUAAACAUAUUCCAUUGGUUGCUUGUAUAAUUCAAAAUCAUUGUAUUUUUAAAUAAAAAUUUACAACAUUAUGCUGACAUAAAAGUAUAUUUGUUGAAUAUAUUUUAAGAUUGUAGUUGUAAAGAAUGUUGGUACAUCAUCAGCCCGUAUCUCUCUCUCUCCAUUGCUGGAUGUAGACUUCUCCCAUAGUCCGGUACAAUGAACGAUCCUCCGCCUUCCGGAUCCAAUCUUUCCCAGCAUAUCGCCGCAAGUCAUCGGUCCACCAGGCAGGAGGACGCCCAACGCUGCGCUUACCGCUUCGCCUUGACGUGCAGGUGAGCUCACGGAGCUCAAACCGGGAGUGUUGCUAACACUGGUCCUAGCAAGAGCAGUGCUUCGCAGAAUCUACCACCGGAUCGGAAACGCGACCCACUGAGAAGAUCCGGCGAGAAACUCAGUGAGCUCUGUCUGUGGGUUAAUUUACUCGUCGAGCCCUUCGUCACAAGCGACGGUUUCGGCGAGGACGGUGACCAGUGCUUGACGUACCUAAAAGCACCGUUAAUGGAUCGGGAGGAACCCUAAUGACGCGUGUAAUUGAUUACUCAUUAAAUAACGCUUCUGAAGAACUGACAACUCCACCGGAUCGGAAUUGCAAUCCGCUGAGAAGAACCAGCGAGAAACACACUGGGCCACAACUAUUUGAACAUAUAUUAAUAAAUAAAAUAUGUGUAGUAUUAAUCGACUAAUUCAAUAAGAAGGAAGCAAAUAUGUACAUACCAUAUACAAAUA